AUGGACAUGGUGGCGCGGCGGCUAAACCCCAAUCUUUUUGGGGGAAACAGGCUUCUACUACAGGAGAACAACCCAAGCAAAUCCGCUGGCAUCUGGGUGCUAUCCAUUAUCCAAGCAAGGCGGGUUAGGGCAUUUUCCGUACCAAUAAUGCAAGGGGAAGAGAUGAGGAACAGGCUGAAGCUGAAUGGGAUGGACGUCAAGCCAGGCGACGUGCCGCGCGUGCUCGAGGGCACCAUGAGCACCUCCGUCGCCUACCUCGUCGGCAUCGGCGUCGCCAGGCGGCAGAUCGGCGGCGUCAUCUGGGUAGCGAUUUCUGGUCGUGAAGGGGGUCGGCGCCGGCCGUUGGAGCCGAACCAACAGCGAAGCGGGCGCACGACCGCACGAGGGCACCGCCGUAGCAUCCGAUUCUUCCCACAUGAUCCAACCCCGCCUGCCGGCUCGGCUCAUGGGAUGGGAGCAUCAUCCCGCGGCCGCCCGCCCGCACCGCCGCACGAGCCGGGCACGUAA
rnacentral:rRNA from 1 species